rnacentral:tRNA from 1 species
UAUAUUUUAGUGUAUGAUGCACAAAAGUUUUUGAUACUUUUAGAAAUAGUUUGAUUCUAUUAGAUAUAA